GACGAACGCUGGCGGCGUGCUUAACACAUGCAAGUCGAACGGAAAGGCCCUGCUUUUGUGGGGUGCUCGAGUGGCGAACGGGUGAGUAACACGUGAGUAACCUGCCCUUGACUUUGGGAUAACUUCAGGAAACUGGGGCUAAUACCGGAUAGGAGCUCCUGCUGCAUGGUGGGGGGUGGAAAGUUUCGGCGGGUGGGGAUGGACUCGCGGCUUAUGAGCUUGUUGGUGGGGUAGUGGCUUACCAAGGCUUUGACGGGUAGCCGGCCUGAGAGGGUGACCGGCCACAUUGGGACUGAGAUACGGCCCAGACUCCUACGGGAGGCAGCAGUGGGGAAUAUUGCACAAUGGGCGGAAGCCUGAUGCAGCAACGCCGCGUGCGGGAUGACGGCCUUCGGGUUGUAAACCGCUUUCGCCUGUGACGAAGCGUGAGUGACGGUAAUGGGUAAAGAAGCACCGGCUAACUACGUG
rnacentral:rRNA from 1 species